UACGUAGGGUGCAAGCGUUGUCCGGAAUUAUUGGGCGUAAAGAGCUCGUAGGCGGUCUGUCGCGUCUGCUGUGAAAACUCGGGGCUUAACCCCGGGCCUGCAGUGGGUACGGGCAGACUAGAGUGCGGUAGGGGAGACUGGAAUUCCUGGUGUAGCGGUGAAAUGCGCAGAUAUCAGGAGGAUCACCGGUGGCGAAGGCGGGUCUCUGGGCCGUAACUGACGCUGAGGAGCGAAAGCAUGGGGAGCGAACAGG
rnacentral:rRNA from 1 species